UGGCACAUGGAAGUGCCCAGGCUAGGGGUUGAAUUGGAGCCACCUAUACCACAGCUCACAGCAAAGCCAGGUCCUUAACCCACUGUGUGAGGCCAGGGAUAUAACUCUAAUCCUCAUGGAUACUAGUUGGGUUUGUUACUGCUGAACCACGAUAGAAACUCCCUGUUUCAUCUUUUAAAUGGUCUUUUGCAAAAUUUAAACUGAAUUACAAAAGCACCAGCUGAGGUCAGUUGAUGCUGCCCUACUUUUUUUUUUUUCCCCCAGAUACUCUAUUCCCUUAUAAAGGAUAAAUUCUGCAUAAAUUGUAAUGCUGGAAAGUUCACAGACCUGAAAUUGGGCAUAAGGUCUAGAAAGGUCAUUUAUGUUACUUACCUUGUCUCCUGGAAAUUCUAAGUUCUGUGCUUUUAUACAAGUCUUAAAUAAAUCAGAAAACAUUCCAUUUCCUGCUUUGCAUCCACCGUUCUUCUAUGACUGGCUACCCCUCCGUUUGCCAUGGGAAGCCAUUUGUCGUCAUAUACCAGACAGGUCCUAGCAUUUGAGUGCUGUAUCUCCUCUUUUCCUGCAGAUAUUGCUGUGCCAAUAUCUCCUCUGCUUUAUAGAAAGAGCAUCACCAUAGAGACAAAUACAUGAAAAGGAAGAAACCCCCCUAUUAGCACAAGACCCUCUGUAGAUAACAACCAAGCUCCCUCUUUCCCUUUAUAAUCAUUCUUCAAAGGAAGCUGAACUGCUCCAUUUUCCUCUUUCAUUUUUACCCUUUGUUUCUAGCUCUGAUGCAAAGCUUUUAUUCCCACCAUUUCACUAAAACUAGAAGUUUAGAGUCUAGAAGUUCUCCAAAGGCUUAUAUUAUUUUUUGCUUAAUCUAAACACAGCACCACACACACACACCACACACACCACACACACACACACUCAAAUUUACACAUUUGCAUUAUUUGACAUCCCAAGUUAAUUCCUGAUGCUGAUAAUUUUCAAAUCUGAAACUCCCAAACUGUACUUUUAUUUUGAGCCCUAGCCCAGUAUCCUCUUUCUUGGUGGAUCUGAGCAUCUUAAUUAAACAAGUCUAAAAUUUAUCUCCGCUCUGCCAAGCCCACGAGACUUGUUCCUUCUGGAAUCCAUAUGGGUAAGUGGUGAGUUGUGUCACAUUCUAUCUAACACCUAAGGAUGAUCCUGGGUGCUACCUGCUCCUGGCUUCCCAUUUCCAUCAGUCACCCAGCCCUCAAGCUCUACCUGGUAAAUCUGUUAAUGUCACUACCUUGGUUCAUGCCCCAUCAUGUCUUCCCAUCCAUGUUUUAAUAUCAUUUAUAAUGAUUGUGAAGUCUAACACAUAAGAAAAUAGCAUAAAACUCCAAUAUAUAGUAUUUUCUAAAAGCCAUGUAACUAGUAUUCAGGUCAAGGAAAAAAAACAUUCUAGCAAUUUAGAAGCCCUUGAAUCAUCUUUUUUUGGUAACAUCCAAAACCAUGAGGCUUGUUUUAGGAGGAUUGCUUUCCUCCUCUGUUUUAUCACCAACAAAUGCAUCUGUAAGCUGUGGAGUGUGACUUGCCUGUUUAUGAGGAAGGUAUACUCUUCUAUUCCGUGAUUUUAAAAAAUUAUACAUGCCCUUUUUUAUUAUAAUUGAUUUACAGUGAUCUGUCCAUUUCUGUUGUACUGCACAGUGACUCAGUAUUACACAUACACACAUAUAUACCACACAUAUGUAUAUUUCUCAUAUUAUCUUCCAUCAUAUUUCGUCACAAGUGAUUAGAUAUAUAGUUCCCUGCGCUAUACAGCAGGAUCCCAUUGUCCAUCCACUCAAAAUGCAAGUUUUCAUCUACUGACCCCACAUUCCCAAUCCAUCCCACUCUCUCCCCUCCCCCUUGGCAAACACGAGUCUGCCCAUGAUCUUUUCUGUUUUGUGGAUAGAUCAUUUGUAUCAUAUUUUAGACUCCACAUAUAAGUGAUAUCAUAUGGUGUUUGUUUUUCUCUUUCGGACUUAUUUCACUCAGUAUGAGAGUCUCUAAUUCCAUCCAUGUUGCUGCAAAUGGCUUAUUUUGUCCUUUUUAUGGCUGAGUAGUAUUCCAUUGUGUAUAUGUACCACAUCUUCCUAAUCCAUUCAUCUGUUGGUGGGCAUUAGUAUUCUGUGAUUUUUAUUUUGUUUUAAUUUCUCUUUUUUUCUGCACCCACAACAGAAAAUUUCCUGGGCCAGGGAUUGAACCCACAUCACUGCAGUAACCAGAGCUACCUCAGUGAUAGGGCUGGAUCCUUAACCCAUUGAGCCACAUGGGAAUUCUUGUUUCACUUUUUCAUUUACCGCCCAUGUUGCUGAUCAUGUUCAGUGCUAUGUAUUGCUCCAUGACAUGGAUAUAGAUCACUUUUCCCCAUUGUUCACUGGGUGGGCAUUUAGAGGGUCCUUAGUUUUGAGCUAAUCAUAGGGACCUCACCAUAAUCCACUCCCAAGUGUUCCAUGGUAUAUUCCUUGGGGUGGGGCGAGUGCCAGUUCCAAUUACUUAGCCCAUCAUUUCCUGGAAUGGAGGUAUGACAUGAAUUUGGAAGUGACUUUGCAACACCUAUAGACCUCUCUUUUUCCAAAUGACUUCCUUCCUUUUGCCUUUCAUACCAAGGAACUUGUCAGGAAGCAGAUCUGAUGAUGUCCCUCUUCUAUGCAGCAUCUCUUCCAUGGCUCCUCUUGGUCUUGGACAACAUCUAAAUUCUCUAACCAUGGCAUUAGGGUCAGAUAUCUGUCCACCUUUCCAGACUUCAGUUCUGCCAUUUGCCCACCUCGAUUCUAUCUCUUAGCCACGCAGAAGUACUUGCAGCUACUGAAACACUAUAGGUUUGUGUCCAUAUCUGGCCCUUUACACAUAAUUUUUUUUCAUUUAAAUCAAAGUCUUUAGUAGAUCAUUCCCUCAUCCCCAGCCUGAGUUCAUUAAACGUUCCCAGUAUUCAAAAGUCACUCUGGUUGUACAUCUAUUAUAGAAGCGAUCAGGCAAUGUUAGAAGUGUCUUUAUACUUAAUUUAUUCCUAUCCUGUCUUCUUAUUCAAAGGAGUUUACAGAAAAGAUACAAUAAAAAUGGAGCCAUAAGUAAGUAAAAAUCAGAACAAAGCAAAGCAUAGCUAGACUACACAAUAAAGAUAGGAACAUUGGAAAUUAGAUACACAAGCUUUGAGAUUCAGUGUGGCCAUUAAAAUUUGGUCUGGGGUAGACACUGAGAAUCAGAGACCACCAAACAGAUGAGUGUCUUCACCACAGAAUGAGGGUAGGGGGCUGCAUAUUUCAGCUCUGCAAUCCCCAGUGCCUGGGACCUCCUUGGUACAGUGGAUGUUGGGGUGGAUACUCAAGGUAUUUGUCUGUCACCUUUGGGAAUUGCAGCCUCAUUCAUGCACUGUAGAAUGAAAAAGUUCAGGCUCACUGGGUCAUCUGGAGAGAUGAGUGUUAUCUACAAGCUGUAGUCACGAACUCAGCUGUCUACAGGGACAAUCUGUCAUGAGAAAUUAGUAAGAUGGACUCGGGGUAGGAAAUAUGAAGCACAAGCAGACCUCUGGUGACAAGGAGAACCCAGGCUCUCUGUGAAGCAGAAGCACACAGCUGCCAAACCAUCCAGCUUUCCAAUGGAAGUCAAAUGCCUGGAUAGUUUAAAUGGGGGAUUUUUUUCUGGCUUUUAAAAGUUGGCGAUUCAUUUUCUAAUUCAUAUUUUAAAAAUACUAUGGAGGUCCCCACUGAGUGAGCUAAGCACAUCUCAGCGGUAGGCCUCCUGGAAUUGACUGGAAAGGAAAACAAUAAUGGAGAGUAUUUAUUUUAUUUUAGCCUAGUUUAUUGUAUUUUAUUUUAUUUUAAAGUAUAGUUGAUUUGCAAUGUUUCUUCAAUUUCUGUUGUACAGCAUAGUGACCCAGUUACAUACAGUUCCCUGUGAUGUACAGAAGGGCCCCAUUGCCCAACCAUUCCAAAGGUGACAGUCUGCAUCCCCCAAAUCCCUACUAAACAUAAAGAAAAAGAAAAGUCAGCUAAAACACCUUUGUGAAACUUAAAUAUUCACAUUCUCCUGUUUUUCUGAUUUUUUUUUUUUUUAACAUAGUGGACAGAAGAACUCUCGGGUUUAGGAAAUUGUGGUGUAAUAAGAAAUACUUUUUUGGCUGUUGCCACUGCUUCCUGGCACACAGUUCCUAAAACUCUUGGAAUCUCCGGAGUGAUAAGAAUGUCUUGUUUGCUAAUGAGGAGACUGGUGGCUGGGGCCCCCCAGAUAGCUUUAAAAUGAGGGCUUAUCUCCAGAAAGACAAAGCCUUGAUUAGAAGGUUGGCAAUUUUAAGUGUAUAGAAGCUCUGCCCCCUCCCCAAACCUUGCCCACAUGUUGCUUCCCCUAACUGCUCCUGGGUUGUACCGUUCAUAAUACAUUCGUUUCCAAAGUUCUGUGAGCCACUCUAAGCCAAUGACCAAACCUGAAAGGGGGGCAGUGGUGGGCACUCCUGACAUAGUAGCCAAGUUGGACAGAAAUGUGGGCACUCCAGGCUUCUACUACUUUUGACCAGUAAGACUCAGCCUUUAAACGUGUGGGCUCUAAGCUAACUCUGGGUAGUUAGUGCCAGAAUGGAAUUGAAGUAGGACACCCAACAGGGGACUGAGUGGAGAGUUAGAAAACUGAGUGUGGGUGUGAAAAAAAAAAACCCAUUUGGUGUCAGAUGUGUUGUGAGUAAAAACAGACCAUUGAAGUAUCGGAAGCUGCCUUUUAAUAACUGCUCUCACUGAGCCAGAAGGACCAGCAGGUGGAAAAUAAGUUGUUUUGAGACCAACAUGGGGUCAUAAACUAGGCGUUCAUGACCACUCUCUGAGAGGCUGCCAUGCACAGAGGCUGAAUAUCUCAGGGAUAAAAGUCUUAUAUUUACCUCCUGAAAACCGCACUCCCUUCUUUCAAACCAUUCACUACAUCCUGUUCACAUUACAUGGACCAACAGAAUUUACCCUACUGUUUAUUUGCCCUUUAAACUUGACUUGGGAAUUUUUACCUCUAGCUAGCAAGAAGAGAUCUUAAUCUGAUUUCUCUUGGGAAAAUGCACUAAGACAGAGAAUACCAAUGUUCCUUUUUUUACUAUGCAGCCCAAGAUGCUAAACGCCUUUUAAUCAACACUUUCUCAUUUCCCAGUUUCACCAUAGCAGUCUCAUCCAUGAGAAUAAUGUAAAGGUUUCUCAGAAUACUUAUUGUUUAUUCAGUACACCAAACAAUUGUCAUCCUAUAGGCUGCUUUAAAUUUUGUUUAUUGGUUAAAUUGCUGUAGCACGUGAUUCUUAAAUCCUUAAAUUCUAGAAACUAAAGCUUGAGGAAAAGGAGGAUGUGUUUUACACUACACUAUUUAAAUGUAGAACAAAAUAAGCUUGGAGGGUAAAUUGGCAACAAAAACAAUCCCUUAGAAAGUAAAGGAAGGAGUUCCCAUUGUAGCUCAAUGGAAAAGAAUCUGACUAGGAACCAUGACGUUGCCGAUUCGAUCCCUGGCCUCGCUUAGGGGGUUAAGGAUCCAGCAUUGCAGUGAGCUACGGUUGUAGGUCACAGAGGUGGCUUGGAUCUGGCUGUGGCUGUGGUGUAGGCCAGCAGCUGUAGCUCCGAUUUGACCCCUAGCCUGUGAAUCUCCAUAUGCCGUGGGCGAAGCCCUAAAAA
rnacentral:lncRNA from 1 species